GAUGAAGAACGUAGCGAAAUGCGAUAAGUAAUGUGAAUUGCAGAAUUCAGUGAAUCAUCGAGUCUUUGAACGCACAUUGCGCCCCCUGGUAUUCCGGGGGGCAUGCCUGUCCGAGCGUCAUUGCUGCCCUCAAGCACGGCUUGUGUGUUGGGCCCCCGUCCCCGGUUUCCCCCGGGGACGGGCCCGAAAGGCAGCGGCGGCACCGCGUCCGGUCCUCGAGCGUAUGGGGCUUUGCCACCCGCUCUGUAGGCCCGGCCGGCGCCAGCCGACACCCAACUUUAUUUCUAAGGUUGACCUCGGAUCAGGUAGGGAUACCCGCUGAACUUAAGCAUAUCAAUAAGCGGAGGA
rnacentral:misc_RNA from 1 species